GAUGAACGCUAGCGGCAGGCCUAACACAUGCGAGUCGAGGGGCAGCACAGAAACAGCAAUGUUUUGGUGGCGACCGGCGGACGGGUGCGUAACGCGUAUGCAACCUAUCUUUAACAGGGGGAUAACGGAGAGAAAUUUCCACUAAUACCCCAUAACAUCGAUCAAGGCAUCUUGAUUGGUUGAAAACUCCGGUGGUUAAAGAUGGGCAUGCGUUGUAUUAGGCAGUUGGUGAGGUAAUGGCUCACCAAGCCUACGAUACAUAGGGGGACUGAGAGGUUAGCCCCCCACACUGGUACUGAGACACGGACCAGACUCCUACGGGAGGCAGCAGUGAGGAAUAUUGGUCAAUGGGGGCAACCCUGAACCAGCCAUGCCGCGUGCAGGAAGACGGCUCUAUGAGUUGUAAACUGCUUUUAAACAGGGAUAAAGCACAGUAUGUAUACUGUGUUGAAGGUACUGUAAGAAUAAGGAUCGGCUAACUCCGUGCCAGCCGCCGCGGUAA
rnacentral:rRNA from 1 species